rnacentral:rRNA from 1 species
UACAGAGGGUGCAAGCGUUGUUCGGAAUUACUGGGCGUAAAGCGCGCGUAGGCGGCUUUGCAAGUCGGGCGUGAAAUCCCCAGGCUUAACCUGGGAACUGCAUUCGAGACUGCAUUGCUAGAGUAUGGGAGAGGGAAGUGGAAUUUCCGGUGUAGCGGUGAAAUGCGUAGAUAUCGGAAGGAACAUCAGUGGCGAAAGCGACUUCCUGGACCAAGACUGACGCUCAUGUGCGAAAGCGUGGGGAGCAAACAGG